GCCUGGCUGGCUCAGUGGAAAGAGCAUGCGACUCUUGAUCUUGGAGUCAUGAGUUCAAGCCCCAUGUUGGGUG
rfam:Felis catus isolate Cinnamon breed Abyssinian chromosome E2, whole genome shotgun sequence.